rnacentral:rRNA from 1 species
GACGAACGCUGGCGGCGUGCCUAAUACAUGCAAGUAGAACGCUGAAGAAAGGAGCUUGCUUCUUUUGGAUGAGUUGCGAACGGGCGAGUAACGCGUAGGUAACCUGCCUUGUAGCGGGGGAUAACUAUUGGAAACGAUAGCUAAUACCGCAUAACAGCUUUUGACACAUGUUAGAAGCUUGAAAGAUGCAAUUGCAUCACUACGAGAUGGACCUGCGUUGUAUUAGCUAGUAGGUAGGGUAACGGCCUACCUAGGCGACGAUACAUAGCCGACCUGAGAGGGUGAUCGGCCACACUGGGACUGAGACACGGCCCAGACUCCUACGGGAGGUAGCAGUAGGGAAUCGUCGGCAAUGGGGGUAACCCUGACCGAGCAACGCCGCGUGAGUGAAGAAGGUUUUCGGAUCGUAAAGCUCUGUUGUAAGAGAAGAACGUGUGUGAGAGUGGAAAGUUCACACAGUGACGGUAACUUACCAGAAAGGGACGGCUAACUACGUGCCAGCCGCCGCGGUAA